UCCUCAAUAGCUCAGUCGGUAGAGCAUGCGGCUGUUAACCGCAGGGUCGU
rnacentral:tRNA from 1 species